UGGGGAAUAUUGCACAAUGGGCGCAAGCCUGAUGCAGCCAUGCCGCGUGUAUGAAGAAGGCCUUCGGGUUGUAAAGUACUUUCAGUCGGGAGGAAGGUGGUAAGGUUAAUAACCUUAUCAAUUGACGUUACCGACAGAAGAAGCACCGGCUAACUCCGUGCCAGCAGCCGCGGUAAUACGGAGGGUGCAAGCGUUAAUCGGAAUUACUGGGCGUAAAGCGCACGCAGGCGGUUGAUUGAGUCAGAUGUGAAAUCCCCGGGCUUAACCCGGGAAUUGCAUCUGAUACUGGUCAGCUAGAGUCUUGUAGAGGGGGGUAGAAUUCCAUGUGUAGCGGUGAAAUGCGUAGAGAUCUGGAGGAAUACCGGUGGCGAAGGCGGCCCCCUGGACAAAGACUGACGCUCAGGUGCGAAAGCGUGGGGAGCAAACAGG
rnacentral:rRNA from 1 species